UUUGGCCAAGUGGUAAGGCAUCGCACUCGUAAUGCGGGGAUCGKGGGUUCAAUUCGCACAG
rnacentral:tRNA from 1 species